GAUGAACGCUGGCGGCGUGCUUAACACAUGCAAGUCGAACGAACCUUCGGGUUAGUGGCGGACGGGUGAGUAACGCGUGAGAAUCCGCCCUCAGGAGGGGGAUAACGGCUGGAAACGGCCGCUAAUACCCCAUAUGCCGAGAGGUGAAAUGAAUUUCGCCUGGGGAUGAGCUCGCGUUUGAUUAGCUAGUUGGUGGGGUAAAGGCCUACCAAGGCGACGAUCAGUAGCUGGUUUGAGAGGAUGAUCAGCCACACUGGGACUGAGACCCGGCCCAGACUCCUACGGGAGGCAGCAGUGGGGAAUUUUCCGCAAUGGGCGAAAGCCUGACGGAGCAACGCCGCGUGAGGGAUGAAGGCCUUUGGGCUGUAAACCUCUUUUAUCAAGGAAGAAGAUUUGACGGUACUUGAUGAAUAAGCCCCGGCUAAUUCCGUG
rnacentral:rRNA from 1 species